GUUCAACCCAACCUUUGAUAGUUUGAAUCCCAAAUACGUGUUAGAUUUUUCCAACUUUUAAAUUUGCAAAAACAAUGCCAUAACACUUGGCUUUUCAUAAAAGAAAAACAAAAGAUUGUUUAAAAAUUCUCAAGAAUCACUUAAACUCGCCUGGGUGGGUAGUGUUUAUUGUGAACUGAAAAUAGCUUCUUGAUACAUGACUAGAAGAAUCACUACACAAGACCCCUCUGUUUAAACACCUCAAACAUUGCAGAUCCGAUCUUUGCCGGUGAUUCCACAACUGUCACGCCAGCUUCCUUUAGGGUCUUGAUUUUGUCUUGUGCCGUACCCUUUCCACCUGAUACUAUGGCUGCAGAAAUACCUCCAGCAUGACCCAUACGUCGACCAGGUGGAGCGGUAAGUCCAGCAAUAAAGCCAACAAUAGGCUUUUCUGUCCCACUU
rnacentral:lncRNA from 1 species